rnacentral:rRNA from 1 species
UACGGGGGGGGCAAGCGUUGUUCGGAAUUACUGGGCGUAAAGGGCUCGUAGGUGGCCAACUAAGUCAGACGUGAAAUCCCUCGGCUUAACCGGGGAACUGCGUCUGAUACUGGUUGGCUUGAAUCCGGGAGAGGGAUGUGGAAUUCCAGGUGUAGCGGUGAAAUGCGUAGAUAUCUGGAGGAACACCGGUGGCGAAGGCGGCAUCCUGGACCGGUAUUGACGCUGAGGAGCGAAAGCCAGGGGAGCAAAGCGGG